GAUGAACGCUGGCGGCGUGCUUAACACAUGCAAGUCGAACGGUGAAUGCGGAGCUUGCUCUGCUGGAUCAGUUGCGAACGGGUGAGUAACACGUGAGCAAUCUGCCCCUGACUCUGGGAUAAGCGCUGGAAAGGGCGUCUAAUACUGGAUACGAGCUACGGAGGCAUCUUCAGCAGCUGGAAAGAAAUUCGGUCAGGGAUGAGCUCGCGGCCUAUCAGCUUGUUGGUGAGGUAGUGGCUAACCAAGGCGUCGACGGGUAGCCGGCCUGAGAGGGUGACCGGCCAAACUGGGACUGGGAUACGACCCAGACUCCUCCGCGAGGCAGCAGUGGAGAAUAUUGCACAAUGGGCGGAAGCCUGAUGCAGCAACGCCGCGUGGGGGAAGACGGCCUUCGGGUUGUAAACCUCUUUUAGCAGGGAAGAAGCGAAAGUGACGGUACCUGCAGAAAAAGCGCCGGCUAACUACGUG
rnacentral:rRNA from 1 species